rnacentral:lncRNA from 1 species
UGAUGCGUGUUAGUGUAUAUAUGUUUUUAGAUAUAUAUUUAAGCCCUUUUUACACUUUUAGCCAAGUUUUAAAUUUAUAAAACACGAUAUUUACUAACACUAAGCACACAUAUGGGCAAUUGCACCCAUCGUGGACGUAGUAUAGUGUUGGUAAGAUACCGAGGUCGUCCAAGGACACAAGAGCUUUUAAUACCGGUUUAUCCUCAACGUCUAACCAAAUCAAAAAGUUAGAAAAAUGUUUUAAACUAAGAAAAAUAAAAACUAACUAAAUGCUGAAAAAUAAAAUAAAAAUAAAAACAGAUAGACAAGAUGAAUCACUUGGAUCCGACACGUGUAUUAGUAUAACCUUUGAUUAUUUUCGCACUUUUGCACUUGUUUAAGAGAUUAUCUUAGUUAUUGUAGUAGGCCCCUCUUUUGAAGGCGACGUUACCCUCAACCCAGUAGUUUGAGUCAGCAAGGAUACAAUCCUAAAGGGUCGGAUUAUUGAAAGAUAAUGAAUUAAGUUAUUAAUGCAAAUUAUGGUAGGCCCCGCUUUUGGCGGUGACGUUACCCUCGGCUAAGUAGUCUGAGUCAGCAGGGAUACAGUCCUAAAUAGCCGGGUUAUAGUAUUAAUAGUAGUUAACUUAUGAGGGGGUCAAAGAGUUUGGAUCCCCGCCAUCCAAUACCUAUGGGCAUUGAAGGAGAUCCUACUAAAUUUGACCCAGGUCCCAAGCAGGACCUCUAAACGCUGAACAAGGGCAAGACCCUUACCAAACCGUUCCCUUAACCCCCGACCAGGAUGUGUAGCCAACAUACCUCCAUAUAGACCGUGGAGAUAUGAAUGGUGAAAAUCUUUUAUUUUAUAUAGACAGUAAAAUAAUGCCAAGACACCACGGACAAACGAUAAGGAAAGAUCACCUUCAACAUAAGUAACUAGUUAUUAAAGUCAUUAAUAC